AGCGAAUUAUGGUAGUGCUGGCAUAUCUUUGCUGAUAUGUCACCAGUGAUGCAAUUUUUCCUAGGAGCCGUCAAUUGGCUUGGUGUCAUGGCAUUUCUGUAUCCUCCUCCCUUCUACUAGUGAUGGUCUAAUUUGGGGGGCCAACAGAGGUGAGGCAAAGUACCUCACCCGCCCCCCACCAGCACCAAGGCCAAUUUUGGGGGCCAACAGAGGUGAGGCAAAGAACCUCACCCCCCCACCGGCACCAAGGCCAAAUUUGGGGGCCAACAGAGGUGAGGCAAAGAACCUCACCCCCCCACUGGUGCAUAGGCCUAUCCACAAGUAUGGCUAUGUGCUGGACUGGUAGUCAGUGGCGGGUAUGAUCCAA
rnacentral:lncRNA from 1 species